rfam:Toxocara canis scaffold2898, whole genome shotgun sequence.
GCGGAAAUAGCUCAGUGGUAGAGCAUCCGCUUCGCAUGCGGGGGGACCUAGGUUCGAUUCUCGGCUGCU